rnacentral:rRNA from 1 species
UACGGGGGGGGCAAGCGUUGUUCGGAAUUACUGGGCGUAAAGGGUGCGUAGGUGGGUUGGUAAGUCAGUGGUGAAAUACUUUCGCUUAACGAAGGAACUGCCAUUGAUACUACCAGUCUUGAAUACAGUGGAGGUAGGCGGAAUGCGUCAUGUAGCGGUGAAAUGCUUAGAUAUGACGCAGAACACCAAUUGCGAAGGCAGCUUGCUACACUGUUAUUGACACUGAGGCACGAAAGCGUGGGGAUCAAACAGG